rnacentral:rRNA from 1 species
AUCUCAGGCCAUAUCAGCCUGAGGGCGCCCGAUCUCGUCUGAUCUCGGAAGCUAAGCAGGGUCGGGCCUGGUUAGUAUCUUGGAUGGGAGACCACCUGGGAAUCCCGGGUGCUCGAGGCU